GGUACUCUGGACUUGACGAGAUUCUCCUACUGGAUUGAUACAUUGGUUCUCAAACUGAGGGAAAUACUUACUGCUCAUGUGCCGCAUCACCCUUUCCUCUUCAAGGGAAAAACCAACGCAAGCAAGUCUUCGUCAACGUGUCAAUUUCUGGCGCUGUUGUUUGAGAAGUAGCAAGGGUCAAAGUGCAAUUCGUCAGAGCUGCAACUGCUGUAAUUGAUGAAUACAAUAGUAGAAUUGCCGCUCCAAAGCAGCAGACAAACCCUCAACCAAGCUAUAUUGUUCAAUUGACUGAGGAGGAUGAAAAUGAAAAACCAGCUGCUGAAGAAAUUUCUCGGAAUACAUCAACUGAAGAUUCUGCUAGGCCAAACACUGAUAAAACAGUGCCUGAUAAAUCUGCACCUUCACCUAAAUCUUCAAAGGUGGAGAAAGUAACUACUCCGUCUGCAGCAGACG
rnacentral:lncRNA from 1 species